rnacentral:lncRNA from 1 species
AACUUUCACAAAAUAUUGUAUUAAAAAUUUACUUUAUUAUGUGAUAUUUAUUUGUUGGUUUUAUCAUAAAUGUGGAAAAAAUAUUUUCUGUGAUUUAGUAGAGUAGAAACAGAAAUGUUUAAAUCUUUAAAGACUUUUGUUCUGAAUAAGAAUUCAUUAAAUACUUGUUUACCAGAUAAUAUGUGGGUAUGCUAUUGAGGUGUCAAGGAUGGCAAAAUAAAAUUCUGGCAUCAUUGCCAUUCAAGGAUCCCUGAAAUUUAUUAUUAUGAAAGUUUAAUUUACAUUAUCAAAAAACUGUGGAGGACUGGGUGGCUAUGUGGUUAAAGUGUGGAGGACUGGGUGGCUAUGUGGUUUAAGUGUGGAGGACUGGGUGUCUAUGUGGUUUAAGUAGUUCACUAGCAACUAGGUCUUCAUUCUUAGAACUAUAUUCUUGCAAUUUGGGGAUUAAUAAGGGUGUGCAUUAAACAGUGUUUUACCAUAUAUGCAUCUUUUACUUACUGAAAUUUAUGUAUAAAACAUAAAAUAUCUGACUUUUGAUUUUUUUAGCAUGUUCACUCCAUUUAAGAUUAUUUGUAAUUCAUUUAUCUAUGGACCACUAUUUUAUACUGCUUAUCACUAUCUGACAAGUAUCAUUUUGUUAAAUCUUGUAUUUGACAUGUAUCUUAGUUCUCGGUCACAUUGAUAGAUGUGUUACAAUACAAAUCAAACAAUGUGUAACUUGUGGGAUCUUCUGCAACCUCAGUCAUCAGGCUGUGGCGGAUUCAGAAAUUUUCAUAAGUGGGAGGGGGCCCACUGUUUGCCUUUUAGGAGGCCUGCAAAUGUCAUGCUUCAGUGAUUCCCUAUAUAAUCAACCAGAUUUUUCUAUAAAAAAGGGGGGGCUCUAAAUCUGCCUCUGUCAGGCCAUGAUUUUUUCACAUUUUAGUAUCUCAGUCUUUUAUAGUAACUAUAUUGUAUGAAUUUUCCUCAUUGAAGACCAUGCAGUUAAUAUCUGCCCAGUUACCUAUCAUUGCUAUCAUCUUGUACUUUAGUUACAUUAGAAAUCAAAAGGUUGUUUAAGAUUUGUUUUGGUCAUAAUGUUAACAGUAUAAGCAUUGUCAUUGUCUAUCAGUGUGUUGACAUCUGUCCUUUUUUGUUGUUGAAUGUGAAUGAAAUAUUUUCACCUGGGAAAAAAAAGAUAAUCAAUAACUACAUUUUAUUUUGGUUCACCAUUCUUUAUGUAAUUUAGACACAUUAUAUUCAGAGGGUCCAAUUUCAUCAAACAUCAUAGUCAAUUAUUUUGCAAUUGUGAGUGUUUGAAUCUUAAUUAAGGUAAAGGGUAGGGCCAUAGCAUAUUUAAAUGAUGUUUUAGGCAUUGUAGAAUCUCAAUCCUGCAGCCAAUCUUCAUCAGACAUCAUCCAAUACUGGCAGCCUUUUGGGGACAUUCUUGGUCAGGGGUGACUAGGUUAGGAGAGUGUGAAGCCUUAUAUCAAGGUCAUAGAUGAAGGUUGCAUUAAGGAAAAACUAAAUAUUUUCAGUAGAAUUGUGGAAAGCUAUUCUACUUAAUCAUUUAUGGUGCCAUCUUAUUUUUGUUUUUGUUCUAUUUUGUGUUUUUAUGGGAUUUUCAAAAAAAAAUUUGUUAAUAAAUCGCAAGUGUAUUUCAACUGAUUGAUUUUUUUAAAAGAUUCAUAGUGUAAUUAUCAAACUACUCUAAUGAGGCCUUAGUACCUGGAAAGAUCCAAUAUAUCAAAACUAUGCUUAACGCUAUAUUGACAUGUUGUAUUCAAUCAUUUAGCGAAUAAUUUAUUUUCCAGAAUUCCUCUAUGUAAAUAACAUUUGUUCUAGUUCUAUUAUGUGAUGUAUUAAUACUUCAUUACUUUACAGAUUUAACAAAGAAAUUGUUCAUAGUUUGUCAAUUUGAACCUCAGAAAUUGUUAUAUGCAAAAAUGUCUCUAUUCACUGUUGUAGUUCUCUUCAUGUUUAAUAUUAUGUAUUCUGAGCCC